UGGCAAGGUUUGGGGAAUUGCUUGUAAAAAUGGUAUGAUUUGGUGAAUGUAUGGUAGUUUGAAUGGAGAUCCCUUUCGAGUUUUCACAUGGUGGUUUGAAGAAAGGGAACCUGAUUUCUUUCGAUGUCGUGAAAUUCACCUACAUGUUUGCUUCCCACUGUAAGAGCAAAAAAAAACCUCAAGCUGAUGUCUUUAAUUUUACUAAUCAACUUGAUUUCUUUUUCGUACAAUAGGUUUAUUUUCAAUGUCAAAUUUGGAUAUGUAUUUGAUCAUUGAUGUGUUUUCCUUUGUUGAGUUAUAAAUUGCUUCUGUCAACUGCUACCAUAGGACCUAUGCAAAUACCGCAACAUAAUUGUUUAAGGCAAAGGGCUAGCUAUCUUUUCUAAAAAAACUACCUACCUGUGUGGUUGUUUUAGAGGCUAAGAAUUGAGCAGACUAGGAUUUAGUAGCCAAGAGGUGAAAGUAGGGGAUGGAAGUACUAUGCAAAUUGGUACCAUUACUCAACAAGCUUUUUAAGCUUCUUAAAAGGCUAAAGGUUUCUUUUUCUUCCAUUUUUUUAAAUUCUCAAUAUUUUGCUUUACUAUAAAAGUUUAGGUUACGGAGAUGUUGGAGCAACAGAAGGAUUACACCAUGGCCAUUGUCCUAUUUUGUCAUUAUUUUGUUAUAGGUUUCUUGGUCUGAAUGGAUUCAAAUUACGUGGUAGCGAAAAAAUUGUUGAUUCCACUUCAAGUUUUUCUUUUUGUUAAAAAUAUUUUUUUCCUAUAUGUAUCAUCAACUAUAUCGUGAAUUCAAAGUGCUCUCUCUCUCACGCACACAUUCACAUGCACUCAAUGUACACUCAUUGUUUGAAUGAAUUCGUUUUACGGGUUUAAUUUUCCUCAACUAACGCAACGCAUUUUUUACAUUUUUUUAGUUUGGUGAAAACAACUCGACUAUGAAUAACUAUUAGAAGUAGUCCACAAUUUUUAGUUUAACGGAAAUGGCCCGAUCCAUUCACCGUCAAAUGUCAAUGCUGAAUAAUCUCUCCUGAAUUGGCGUACAACCGAUCCACUUUCACCACCUUCAUAUGGACAUGUUAUUGCCACGUGGUUACCCGUAAAACCUCACCACUCCCGCCCCCUUCCUUCCUGGAUCUUUGCAGUUAAAACACUCUCCGUGCAUCAUCUCUCUUUCUCUCUCUCUCUCACACACACUCUCACUAGGGCCGGUCCAAGAGUUUUGAGUGCCUAAGGCCAAAUUAAAAAAAAUGUGCCCCUAAUACUUAACAAUUUUUACAACAAUGAUCAAAAUACGCUAAAGCAAUAUAAAAUCACCAACAGACCAACUGUUGUCUAUUGAAAGCUCCGAUAAAAAAAAUGGGAAAUGCUAGAGACACAUCAAUGUGUCACACCCCAACACAGUUCCCUCACAUGCAUAUGUGGGAAUUUCACAAUAUAUGCUAGGUACCCACUAGGAACCCACAUGUAUGUGAGAGGGGUGUGGUUGAGAUAUGAUAAAUUGAUGUGCCUCUAGUAUCUCUCAAAUACAACAAGCUGCAGAUACGAUUCUAGCGAUCAAUAUCAGAAAAUCAGAACCAAGCAAUCAGACUCAAAGGCAAGCUCAGAAACAUAAACGCCACAUAUUCAUAAUCAGUACUAACUACCAAACUCUUACAGAUACAAACACAGCGAAUUAAACCCUUAACACUAAACACCAUAUUGUUCACCAUCAUUCAUCAACGAAAACCAACAGCCCAUAAUUUUUUACCUGACUAGAAAAAACCCUAAUAGAUACGUGUGUGUAUCUAUAAUAUGUAUGGCGAAAAGAUGGGAGAGAAACCUGUGGACGGAGAAUGAGCGAUUAGGAGACGAAAUGAGUGCAAUCGAAGAACUGGAUGCUGGUGAUGAUGGUGAGCCGAUUUGGUUUGGUGAUAGUGAAUCGACAAAUUGUAGUUCUUCGAAAGUUUGAAACGUUCUUCGUUCUUCUUUACCUGGUUUUUAUUUUAUUUUUGUUUGGGCU